GACGAACGCUGGCGGCGUGCCUAAUACAUGCAAGUCGAACGCUUCUUUCCUCCCGAGUGCUUGCACUCAAUUGGAAAGAGGAGUGGCGGACGGGUGAGUAACACGUGGGUAACCUACCCAUCAGGGGGGGAUAACACUUGGAAACAGGUGCUAAUACCGCAUAACAGUUUAUGCCGCAUGGCAUAAGAGUGAAAGGCGCUUUCGGGUGUCGCUGAUGGAUGGACCCGCGGUGCAUUAGCUAGUUGGUGAGGUAACGGCUCACCAAGGCCACGAUGCAUAGCCGAACUGAGAGGGUGAUCGGCCACACUGGGACUGAGACACGGCCCAGACUCCUACGGGAGGCAGCAGUAGGGAAUCUUAGGCAAUGGACGAAAGUCUGACCGAGCAACGCCGCGUGAGUGAAGAAGGUUUUCGGAUCGUAAAACUCUGUUGUUAGAGAAGAACAAGGACGUUAGUAACUGAACGUCCCCUGACGGUAUCUAACCAGAAAGCCACGGCUAACUACGUG
rnacentral:rRNA from 1 species